UACGGAGGGUGCAAACGUUGCUCGGAAUCAUUGGGCGUAAAGCGCACGUAGGCGGCGAAGCAAGGUGGGUGUGAAAGCCCUGGGCUCAACCCAGGAAGUGCAUUCAAAACUGCUUCGCUUGAAUCUCGGAGGGGGUCAGAGAAUUCCCGGUGUAGAGGUGAAAUUCGUAGAUAUCGGGAGGAAUACCAGUGGCGAAGGCGCUGACCUGGACGAAGAUUGACGCUGAGGUGCGAAAGCGCGGGGAGCAAACAGG
rnacentral:rRNA from 1 species